UGGGGAAUUUUGGACAAUGGGGGAAACCCUGAUCCAGCCAUCCCGCGUGUGCGAUGAAGGCCUUCGGGUUGUAAUGCACUUUUGGCAGGAAAGACACGUCAUGGGUUAAUACCCCGUGAAACUGACGGUACCUGCAGAAUAAGCACCGGCUAACUACGUGCCAGCAGCCGCGGUAAUACGUAGGGUGCAAGCGUUAAUCGGAAUUACUGGGCGUAAAGCGUGCGCAGGCGGUUCGGAAAGAAAGAUGUGGAAUCCCAGAGCUCAACUUUGGAACUGCAUUUUUAACUACCGGGCUAGAGUGUGUCAGAGGGAGGUGGAAUUCCGCGUGUAGCAGUGAAAUGCGUAGAUAUGCGGAGGAACAGCGAUGGCAAAGGCAGCCUCCUGAGAUAACACUGACGCUCAUGCACGAAAGCGUGGGGAGCAAACAGG
rnacentral:rRNA from 1 species